rnacentral:rRNA from 1 species
GGAUAACCCGGAGAAAUCCGGACUAAUACCCCAUAAUAUGGGCGCUCCGCAUGGAGAGUUCAUUAAAGAGAGCAAUUUUGGUUACAGACGAGCAUGCGCUCCAUUAGCCAGUUGGCGGGGUAACGGCCCACCAAAGCGACGAUGGAUAGGGGUUCUGAGAGGAAGGUCCCCCACAUUGGAACUGAGACACGGUCCAAACUCCUACGGGAGGCAGCAGUGAGGAAUAUUGGUCAAUGGUCGGCAGACUGAACCAGCCAAGUCGCGUGAGGGAAGACGGCCCUACGGGUUGUAAACCUCUUUUGUCGGAGAGUAAAGUACGCUACGUGUAGCGUAUUGCAAGUAUCCGAAGAAAAAGCAUCGGCUAACUCCGUGCCAGCAGCCGCGGUAAUACGGAGGAUGCGAGCGUUAUCCGGAUUUAUUGGGUUUAAAGGGUGCGUAGGCGGCACGCCAAGUCAGCGGUGAAAUUUCCGGGCUCAACCCGGAGUGUGCCGUUGAAACUGGCGAGCUAGAGUGCACAAGAGGCAGGCGGAAUGCGUGGUGUAGCGGUGAAAUGCAUAGAUAUCACGCAGAACCCCGAUUGCGAAGGCAGCCUGCUAGGGUGAAACAGACGCUGAGGCACGAAAGCGUGGGUAUCGAACAGGAUUAGAUACCCUGGUAGUCCACGCAGUAAACGAUGAAUACUAACUGUUCGCGAUACAAUGUAAGCGGUACAG